rnacentral:lncRNA from 1 species
AAAUGGACCACUGAAGAAAUAUUUAAGGAGACUGACAUUAACAAAGAGAAAAGUACUAAGAUCUUAAAUUGUCCAUUUUACUCACACUGCCUGGAGUACCUAUUGAUAGUAGUAUCUCAAACGACAGAGUUGUACCCAGGAAUUCAAGAAAGGAGAUGAGCUCCCUCCAAGACAGGACCAGAUGUUUUUGAAAAAUAUUGUUUCACUCCAAUAACUCCAAGUCUAACUUCAUCCUCUGUGCCUGCUAAUGAUCUUGUGAAAUAUGCAAUCAAAAAUACCUGUGCAAACAACUGUGUGCAACACAACUCAUGCUGGAGAGGUGCUCACCUUUUUAUGCUUUUGAGAGGUAAGAUGUUUAUGCAAACAUUGCAACACACACUGACAUGAAAGUACUUUACCAGGCAUGCAUAAACACUCUGAUCAGUCCUUCCCAACUGCAACUGUAGGAGACAAACUGUACAGAAUGCCAUAUUAAGAUGUUUUGUCCUCAUCAGCUCUGCUGUGCAAUUCACCCAUGUAACAGCAAAUAGAUAACCUAGGGAGGGGGAUAAGGGAGUUUAGCAGGAAAAUAAUAUUGGAGACAUUUGAUACUGGCUGGUUUUGUUUCUUCUGGUGAUGUCUUCAUGCUUUUUCUUUAUGUCUGGUUGGAAAAUGGGGCAUAGUACAGAAUGACUGAAAAGAUUCUGUGUGGUGGGAGUAAAAGAAUUGAUAUGAUCAGAGCCUUAAGCUACACUUAGCUGGUCCUUAACACUUUAAUAGGGUGAUAUCUUGAAUGCCGUCAGUGAUUCAGGUGCUAAACUUUAUAUUAAUGCUUUCCUUACUUUUUCUCUGUGACCUAUGAUAAGUCAUCUGGUGCCAGGUGUCAAUACCAACAGCCAUUUUUCAAUCAAAAUUAAAACAAUUGCAGAGCUAGCUGGUAGCAGAAGUGUCUCCUCAGGACUGCUUGCUUAGUGCAGUUUAUGUAGUACACAAGAAGGGAAGUACCUUACUCAUGUGCAUUCUUACCUCUGCAUGGGUAAAAAACAUAAUUGCCUGCUACAGAAUAAGAUGUAAACAGAUACUCUGCUCAUUUCUAUAGCUGUGGCUAGCAAAAACAAUCUCAUUUGAUCUCUGAUACCUGAAAGGUGGACUUCUACAUCUAAGUUGGUUGCCUAAGCUCACUGUGCAGCCAAAUCAGAGUUAGCACUUGCAGGCUGUGGUGCUUCAAUGAAGCUGAAUCAUUCUCAAGAGGACCUUGUUGCUCCAGUCUGAUUCCAGAGAAUUUCGAUGAGCAGCUUUGUAAAUAGCUAUGGUCAGGUGGGGACUAAAUGAUCUGAACUCAAAUACAUAUUACUCUUUGUAUUCCUCUGACAGAAGGGAAUCUUCUACCUCAUUGCUCAAGUUUGUUGUAUUGUACUAGUCUUGCAAUAACUCAGUCAUGUGCAUAAUACUUAUUUAGAUAACACCAAAAGUUUUUUUAUUUUUAUUGUAGAACUUUUAAUGUUGAAUGGAGACAUGUACAGUAGCAAGAUCUGUUAGCAAGAUUAUGCAUUCUCAGCAAUACAGAAAGGUCUAGAAUGUGAGAGCAGUUCUUCAUUGAAAAAGUAUAAUACCUUCCCAUUUUUUUUACUAAUAAUUUAAGUGAUUAAUAUAUCAUGUACAUGAUUUAAUUUUGAAAAUAAUAAAACACAUACCUCAUUCA